rnacentral:lncRNA from 1 species
UCUUUUAGCACUCCAAUUGUUCGAUAAAAGUUUUACAAGAAAUUUAAAACUGAUAAAGGAACUAUUUUUGUGACCGAACACGCUUUUCGCUUACUCUUAGUUUUAUUCCGCUGCGUUAUACUCUUCAAACCAUACCCCCCGCUGGUACCGACAAUUGGUAUCAGAGCUUGCUUUGAUAGUUUUUCAAAUUUUUUGAAAAUGGGCGGUCAUAACCAAAUGUAUUUAGAGGGUGCUUCUAUUGAUAGACCUCCUUUGUUUACGGG